rnacentral:rRNA from 1 species
GAUGAACGCUAGCGGCAGGCUUAAUACAAGCAAGUCGAGGGGUAACAGGUCUGUAGCGAUACAGAUGCUGACGACCGGCAAACGGGUGCGGAACACGUACAGAACCUUCCUUCGAGUGGGAGAUAGCCCAGGGAAACUUGGAGUAAUAUCCCAUAGGAUCAUAGAGUGGCAUCACUUAGUGAUUAAAGAUUUAUCCCUUGAAGAUGGCUGUGCGGCUGAUUAGGUAGUUGGUGUAGGUAACGGCUCACCAAGCCUUCGAUCAGUAACUGGUGUGAGAGCACGACCAGUCACACGGGCACUGAGACACGGGGCCGACUCCUACGGGAGGCAGCAGUAAGGAAUAUUGGGCAAUGGAGGCAACUCUGACCCAGCCAUGCCGCGUGGAGGAUGAAGGUCCUCUGGAUUGUAAACUUCUUUUAUUUGGGAAGAAAUGCCGAUUUUCUAAUUGGUUUGACGGUACCAGAUGAAUAAGCACCGGCUAACUCCGUGCCAGCAGCCGCAGUAAAAC